rnacentral:tRNA from 1 species
GCCGCCAUAGCUCAGUGGUAGAGCGUCUCAUUGGUAAUGAGGAGGUCGCAGGUUCAAUCCUUGCUGGUGGCACCA